rnacentral:rRNA from 1 species
AGCAGCCGCGGUAAUUCCAGCUCCAAUAGCGUAUAUUAAAGUUGUUGCAGUUAAAAAGCUCGUAGUUGAAUUUCGGGGUUAGCAAGUUGGUCGUGCCUUCGGUAUGCACUGGCUUUACUGAUUCCUCCUUCUUGAAGAACUGUGAUGCUAUUAAUUUGGUGUUGCAGGGAAACAGGACUGUUACUUUGAAAAAAUUAGAGUGUUUAAAGCAGGCUAACGCUUGAAUACAUUAGCAUGGAAUAAUGAAAUAGGACGUUUGAUCCUAUUUUGUUGGUUUCUAGGAUUGACGUAAUGAUUAAUAGGGAUAGUUGGGGGCAUUAGUAUUCAAUUGUCAGAGGUGAAAUUCUUGGAUUUAUUGAAGACUAACUACUGCGAAAGCAUUUGCCAAGGAUGUUUUCAUUAAUCAAGAACGAAAGUUAGGGGAUCGAAGACGAUCAGAUACCGUCGUAGUCUUAACCAUAAACUAUGCCGACUAGGGAUCGGACGAUGUUAACUUUUCUUGACUCGUUCGGCGCCUACG